rnacentral:tRNA from 1 species
CGGGGCGUGGCGCAGCUUGGUAGCGCACCUGCUUUGGGAGCAGGGGGUCGCUGGUUCAAAUCCAGUCGCCCCGA